GAUGAACGCUGGCGGCGUGCCUAAUACAUGCAAGUCGAGCGAACAGAUGAGGAGCUUGCUCCUCUGACGUUAGCGGCGGACGGGUGAGUAACACGUGGAUAACCUACCUAUAAGACUGAGAUAACUUCGGGAAACCGGAGCUAAUACCGGAUAAUAUAUUGAACCGCAUGGUUCAAUAGUGAAAGACGGUUUUGCUGUCACUUAUAGAUGGAUCCGCGCCGCAUUAGCUAGUUGGUAAGGUAACGGCUUACCAAGGCAACGAUGCGUAGCCGACCUGAGAGGGUGAUCGGCCACACUGGAACUGAGACACGGUCCAGACUCCUACGGGAGGGAGCAGGAGGGAAUCUUCCGCAAUGGGCGAAAGCCUGACGGAGCAACGCCGCGUGAGUGAUGAAGGUCUUCGGAUCGUAAAACUCUGUUAUUAGGGAAGAACAAAUGUGUAAGUAACUAUGCACGUCUUGACGGUACCUAAUCAGAAAGCCACGGCUAACUACGUG
rnacentral:rRNA from 1 species